rnacentral:misc_RNA from 1 species
GAAGUGCGAUAAGUGUCAUGACUUGCAGAUCCCCGAGAGCUGACAAAUUUCUGAAUGCACAUGGCGGCCAACUCACCGUUGGUCAUGUAUUGCAGAGUGUAGUUGUUCAUACUCAUCAUCCUUCUGGAUCACAUCUAGGAGGGAUCUGCGCUUGCUAGGAGUGCGAGCGUCAAACGUCAGAGUGGACGCCUUCUCGCUUGUCGGGAAGGGGUCCAACUUCGGAGUUUCAUAGAAGUUCCCCCAUACUCUGUCACUUCUCCCAUUCACCUCUGCAAUGCAGGAAAACCCGCUGAACUUAA